CAUCAGGCCAUCUUCGAACUGGUAGGAUAACGUGUGGUCACUGGCCUCAUCUUUCUACUGGUGGUUGGUCGUGUCUCAUCCGUUCUUUCCUCCAGCUCCAAUUCAUUGACUCAGGUGACUCAUUGAUAAAAUUAUUCAGCCGGGAAAUAUUAUUUGAGAACUAACACGCUACUAAGAGCUAUCGAUACAGUGGUAAGGAAUGCAUACUGUCCUUGUGGAGGUUAUGGCACAGUGCAGGAGACAGAUAACGGUCAGGGAACCACACAAACCAUCAUAACUGUGGCAAUUGCUUGGAAGGAGAGAGAUGUAAUGCCACAGGAAUCUACAAUUUCUGUGUUUGAUUUAGUCAAAGAAGUCAGGAAAGACUUCUGGCAGUGGCCAAAAGACGCAGGGGGGAGACAAGAACAUUCUAGACACAGGGAACAGCUUGUGCAAAGGCCCUGAGGCAAGAGGGAGGAUGGCAGUAUGAGUAAAUAAAAGAAGGCCAGGGGUGGCUGAAUUGCAGAGUUAGGGGCUUGUAGAAGAAGCAGCAGCUGGAGAGGUUGAUAGGAGCUGAAAACCACGUGAGACUUGAAGGCUAGGUUAAGGAGUUUGCAAUGCUUUCAAAGAGCAGUAGGAAGCUAACUAGGAUUGUAAACAGGUGUGUCUUGAUCAGAUCUGUAUUUUGCGGGAAAAAAAAUCACUCUCAUUGUGUUUGGAAUAAGAGGCCAGAGACGGGCCAGGUUGAUGUAUUAGUUUUGUAUUUCUGCUGAAACAAGUUACCACAAUGAAGCAGUUUAACACAAUAUUGGAGUUUUUGUAGGUCAGCAGCCGGGGCACAGCUGGGUUCUCCUUUAGGAUCUCCCGGGGUAGAAAUACAGGCAUCAGCUGGGCUGAGGGCCUCCUCUCAAUUUCGGGGGUUGUUGGCAGAAUUCAUUUCCUCCUCCAGCUGUCCACGCAGCCCCUCCCAUCUUCAGGUCAGUAAUGCUACCAGGUCGAGUCCUUCUCACGCUUCCAGUGUCUCCAUCUUCUGUGCUGCCUCUGUCCUGCUUCCUCUUCUGCCCUCAGCCCGCAGACAGUUCUGCUGCUGAGGGCUCCUGCGGUUACACUGGGUGCACCUGGACCACCCAGGACACUCUCCCCGUUUUAAAGUCAAACUUAUGAAUAACCUUCAUUACAUCCACAAAGGCCUUUAUGCCAUGUAAGGUCUCCUAAGAAUGCUCUUUCAUGAAGUUUUACACAGAAGACAUUCCAAAAGUGUGCACCAGCCCUACCCCAAAUGUAAAAUAGACCCCCUGAGAACAGGAACUUUUCAGUUGUGUUCACAGCUAUAUCCUAGUGCCCGGGACAGAGGUUGACAUGGAGUAGUUGCUAAAUACGUAUUUGUUGAAUGAAUGAAAGGAGUGCCAGCUGGGUGCGAGAUUCUGUAUCAGAUGCUGGAGAUGCAGUGCACACAAGGACACCUCACUUUAUCGUGUCCAGAGGCAGCAUAUCAUCUCUGGGAAGCCAGAAUCGCCGGUGCAUGCUCCAUCUCCUCUCUCUCUUUGACUUCUGCCUCUCUUUCUGUCACGCUGUGCAGCUUAUCUUCCCACCCCAGCUACACUGCCAGCAACCCCUUCUCCUUCCUGAGGGAGGCACAGUGAAGUGCUCUGUGGACUACAACCUGGGAGGAGCCUCAAACAGCGGAGGAAGUUUCUGUGGCCCAGGAGGCUGGGUCAGGAAAUGGGUGGCUGUAACUGUAGGGAUGGGCACAGUUCACUGACGAGCCUGAGACUCAGUUCAACAAGCUGGCACUGAGCUCCUGCUGUGGGGGUUCUGGGCCACUCGCUUGCAUCUUCCUAACACACGUCUGGGUGUUUGAGAAUGUGAGCUCUGAAUGUGGAUGCAAAUGCAUGGCUAUCUACGUCCAAGAGAAGAAUGAAGUAGAGAAUCAUGCUCUCAAAGGCAAACUGAGACAAACUUCGCAAAUUGCAAUUAAAGAUGAACUGAGAUGUUACCAAGUUGCUACUUAGAAACUAUACAAAAUAUGCAAAUAUAUUUUCUUUAUAGAAUUAAGCUACCCAAGAACCAGACUCAAAAACAUUAAUUGAGCACCUAUUAUAUGCCAAGUCCUCUGCUUGGAAAACGGGUUUAAUUCUUACAGUGGUCCUUUGCAGUAUGUCUAAUUUUCCCCAUUUUACGGGUAACGGGCAAGAGAGCAGCCUGAUGCACUGGUCACGUCCUACAGACCGGCAGAGCAGGGGCGGGAACGCAGGUCUUCUGACCAUGGAUCCUGGGUCAUCUCCUGAGACACCAACCACCUGCUCAGCAUCAUGACAGCACAUUGGGAGGCAGCCUGGGGAGAGUCGAGAGCAGCGAUGGCUACGCCCGAUUGAGUUUACUCAAGAACAGUGGAGAAUUCAGGGUCCUGCUGCUGUCAGCCGCCAAAACCUUCCUAAUCCGCGCCUGCUUCUGGCUUCUAGUCCCUGGUUGGUUACUCCCAUCUGGAUUUCUCUACCUGCCUCUGAGAAAUUUACUUAAAUCCUGAAAAAACUUUCAGAGGGAGAAAAUGCUACCACGUCUGGAAAGACGCUGCCACAGAUCAUCCCGGUAUCUGACCUCAGGGGGGCGUUUUUGAAGCUCUGUAAGAGAAGGGCUCAGCGUGGGAUGCCUCUGACCUGCCCCUCCAGGAGCCUGCGCUUUGCCACGGGCAGCUUUCUGUGGUCAGCUGAGGAUGCCAGCAGUUAGAUGUCAGCAACAAGUUGUCUUCAAAAAGGGGUGGAGGGGCCGGCCCUGUGGCCUAGUGGUUAAGUUCGGUGCACUCAACUUCGGCAGCCCAGUUCACAAGUUCGGAUCUCAGGAGGGGACAUACUCUGCUCGUCAGCCAUGCUGUGGCAGCAACCCAUAUGUAAAGUGGAGGGCGAUUGGUAUGGAUGUUAGCUCAGGGCUAAUCCUCCUCAAGCAAAAAAGGAGGAAGGUUGGCAAUGGGUGUUAGCUCAGGGCUAAUCGUCCUCAGCAAAACAAAACAACCCCUCCACACACAAAAAGGGGGUGAGCUGGGGGCAGAGCAGGAAGGUGAGGAGCACGUGGGAUGAAGAAGGGACAUAUCUUCCUUAAUUAUUUCUUCUUAAGUCAGCAGAGGUUGGUUAGCAACAAGGGAGGGAAAUAGUUGGUAUGUUAGGAGCAAAGCUGGUGCAAUAAAUUAUGAAACUGGCUGUAGCAAAAAUCCUGUGAAAUACACCACCCACCCUUAGAAAGAUGGCUUCCCUUUGCCCUGGGAAAGCACAAUAAAGAUGUUGGGUAAUACCUACGCUUUACAGUAACCCAUUACAGAUUUCCAAAUGCCCCAUCACUGUCACAGAGCACCAAGGCCUGUGGACUCUGAUUUACAG
rnacentral:lncRNA from 1 species